GAUUCACCUGGAAAACGAAGCUCCGAAUGAACAAAAUUGAGUUCCACAUUUCUAACGAUUUAUUUUCGUACGUAGAAUAAGCAUUUUUCCUCCAAGCCCUGUUGUUGUCCGGUUGUCGAUCUUCUUCCUGGAAACCGGUAAUUUAAAGCAAAGCUAACUGCCGUUGUUAGCCGGUUUGAAGAUGGUAAUUAGUAUCGACUCGUAUCGACGUGUUUACGCCGUGGAAAGUUCAUUUCGCGCGGAACACGAAACUUUGCGACGGCGAAGACGACGAUGGCGCGACGACUUACUGCACGCCUGACGUAUUUAGUUGCAAAUUUUACCAGUUAACCGUAUCUGCUGUUUGGAAUUCCUGUUCUGCCCGAGACUCGUCUUCUCCAUCGCGAGAUUCCACUCGAACAAUGCGUGUUGAUCGACUGACACUGAUUGUCGAAUUCUUCCAUUUUGGAGAACCGAGUCACUUUCAUUCGACGAGAAGUUGAAGAAUUUGAAGAAGAAGAUCCACUUAAGAUCUUAAUGUAUUAUUGAUAUAAAUAUUUACGAAUGAAGAUGGACGUUACGUGGAAAAAUUCGACGAUUUUCGCAUACUAUGGACUGU